AUUGAACGCUGGCGGCAUGCUUUACACAUGCAAGUCGAACGGUAACAGGGAGCUUGCUCCGCUGACGAGUGGCGAACGGGUGAGUAAUAUAUCGGAACGUACCCAAGGGUGGGGGAUAACGUAGCGAAAGUUACGCUAAUACCGCAUACGAUCCAAGGAUGAAAGCAGGGGACCUUCGGGCCUUGUGCUCCUGGAGCGGCCGAUAUCUGAUUAGCUAGUUGGUGAGGUAAAGGCUCACCAAGGCGACGAUCAGUAGCUGGUCUGAGAGGACGACCAGCCACACUGGAACUGAGACACGGUCCAGACUCCUACGGGAGGCAGCAGUGGGGAAUUUUGGACAAUGGGCGCAAGCCUGAUCCAGCAAUGCCGCGUGAGUGAAGAAGGCCUUCGGGUUGUAAAGCUCUUUUGUCAGGGAAGAAACGGGAGUGGCUAAUAUCCACUCCUAAUGACGGUACCUGAAGAAUAAGCACCGGCUAACUACGUGCCAGCCGCCGCAGUAAAAC
rnacentral:rRNA from 1 species